ACUCCUACGGGAGGCAGCAGUGGGGAAUCUUGGACAAUGGGGGCGAACCCUCGAUCCAGCCAUGCCGCGUGAGUGAUGAAGGCCUUAGGUCGUAAAGCUCUUUCGCCUGUGAAGAUAAUGACGGUAGCAGGUAAAGAAACCCCGGCCUAACUCCGUGCCAGCAGCCGCGGUAAUACGGAGGGGUUAGCGUUGUUCGGAAUUACUGGGCGUAAAGCGCACGUAGGCGGAUCGGAAAGUUGGGGGUGAAAUCCCGGGGCUCAACCCCGGAACUGCCUCCAAAACUAUCGGUCUAGAGUUCGAGAGAGGUGAGUGGAAUUCCGAGUGUAGAGGUGAAAUUCGUAGAUAUUCGGAGGAACACCAGUGGCGAAGGCGGCUCACUGGCUCGAUACUGACACUCAGAUGCGAAAGCGUGGGGAGCAAACAGGAUUAGAUA
rnacentral:rRNA from 1 species